AUACAACUUUCAGCAACGGAUCUCUUGGCUCUCGCAUCGAUGAAGAACGCAGCGAAAUGCGAUAAGUAAUGUGAAUUGCAGAAUUCAGUGAAUCAUCGAAUCUUUGAACGCACCUUGCGCUCCUUGGUAUUCCGAGGAGCAUGCCUGUUUGAGUGUCAUGAAAUC
rnacentral:rRNA from 6 species